AUGCAUUAUUAUUAUAGCAAAGUUCUACCCUCCCCUAAUCUUCACCACAAUUUCAAGAUUAAAUCGUUUACUAUAAAACAAAAUACAGUCGUCCCUUGGCAUCCACAGGACCCACCCCCCAGUCGUCCUCCACCCCCAUGGACAUCAAAAUCCACAGACAUUCAAGUCUCCUGUAUAAAAUGGCGUGGUAGUAUAAACCCUGCAAAGCUUGUCUCAAAGCAAGGUUUCAUAACUGCAAACCUGGCCAAUUCAGUCCCUAUUUCUGCCUCUACUAUCCCCAAAGUAGGUCACGUGUGUGAAAGUGCUUUUAAAGCAGGCACUUCCAAAUGCCUGUCCCCAUACUGAUGUUAGUCUGUGAUGAUGACUGCAUAGGUUUUCACUGAUAGAAACAAAGAUUCCACUAAGCCAAAUGGAUUCACAUUAUAUAGCUCUCCUGCAUUCAGAGAUUAUGCCCUUCCUAUUUUCCGGGGCUGAAACAACCUUCCUGUCAUGAGGGUGAGGAGGUGCUCACUGAAAUUCCAAAGGCAGGAACUUCUCUUGUCUAGCUCAGGUCAAACUGGUCUCAGGCUGCUCUCAACCAGCCUAUGUCCUGUAACGUUAAUUAGUCAGAAAGCAGACCGCCUCCUCUGAGGCCGGCCAUGAUUUUCUCCUGCUACUACCCCGUGGAACAAGGGAGUCUUUUUGGGAGCUGCUCAUUGGGUGAGCUGUGCUUUCGGACUUCACAACAAAACCACUUCCUCUUGUUGGACACGAGACAUGUGCCUCUCCCAGAGGCUUUGCUAUGGCUGCGUGUCCCCCUCCUCCAUGAGAACAAGGACAGGUGAUGCAGUCUGACGGACCUCAGCAUCCACAGCCCCGCACUCGUCCCAGGGCUCCAAGCCUGCCACGGACGCCUGGUGUUUGAGAACACUAUGCUCCCCAGCAAGAAUACACAGAAGAACUACACAAACAAGAUCUUCACAACCCAGAUAAUCAGGAUGGUGUGAUCACUCACCUGGAGCCAGACAUCCUG
rnacentral:lncRNA from 1 species